rnacentral:rRNA from 1 species
CACGUAGGGGCCGAGCGUUGUCCGGAGUUACUGGGCGUAAAGGGCGCGCAGGCGGGUCGGUGCAUCGGUGGUGAAAGCCCCGCGCUCAACGCGGGAGGGUCCACCGAGAUGGCCGACCUGGAGGCAGGGAGAGGCCGGUGGAAUUCCGGGUGUAGUGGUGAAAUGCGUAGAGAUCCGGAGGAACACCAGAGGCGAAGGCGGCCGGCUGGACCUGUCCUGACGCUGAGGCGCGAAGGCGUGGGGAGCGAACGGGAUUAGAUACCCUCGUAGUCC